GCCCCUUUAGCUCAGUUGGUAGAGCAGCUGACUCUUAAUCAGCGGGUCCUCGGUUCGAGCCCGAGAGGGGGCA
rnacentral:tRNA from 9 species